AAAUCGGAGAUCCGAUUUUUCGUCCGCCUAGACCGCCUAGGCGGCCGCCUAGCCCGCCUAGAUGGCGCCUAGCCCAAUUUUUUUUUUUUUUUUUUUUUUUUUUUUUUUUUUUUUAAAUCUAAAAUUCAAAACGUCCUACUUAUGUUCGUAAUUUGUAUAAAAAUCAUAAAUUUGAAAUUAAAAUCUUGUUUUCAUGUGUUUAA
rnacentral:lncRNA from 1 species